rnacentral:rRNA from 1 species
GAUGAACGCUGGCGGCGUGCCUAACACAUGCAAGUCGAGCGAACAGACGAGGAGCUUGCUCCUCUGACGUUAGCGGCGGACGGGUGAGUAACACGUGGAUAAUCUACCUAUAAGACUGGGAUAAUCUCGGGAAACCGGAGCUAAUACCGGAUAAUAUAUUGAACCGCAUGGUUCAAUAGUGAAAGUCGGCUUUGCUGUAUCUUAUAGAGGGUUCUCGGCGGCAUUGGCUAGUUGUGAAGGUAACGGCCUAUCAAGGCUACUAGGCGUAUCCGACGUGGGAGGGUGGUAGCCCGCACGGGAGGUGGGACGGGCACAAGGCUACUGCGGGAGGCAGCAGUAUGGAAUCGUCCGCAAUGGGCGAAAGCCUGACGGAGCGACGGGGAGUGAGUGAUGGAGGUCUUCGGUGCGUAAAGCUCUGUUAUUAGGGGAGAACCAAUGUGUAAGGAGCUGUACACGUCUUGACGGUACCUGAUCAGGAAGCCACGGCUAACUACGUG